GACUUGGUUAUGUUAAUAACUAGAGGGUCAGCAAUAGAAUGAGGAAAGAAGAAAGACUAAUAGAAUAGAUGAAAAGAGUUACAUUUUUCUUAGCUUUAGUUUGGUAGGGUUUUCCCCUGGGACUAUGGCCCACGACUCUGGAGGGGAUGGCGCUUUCUUGACUCGGUUGUGAUGAGUCCAUCCUGUUUUCACUGUAUGAACAGCAGUCUCAGAGGUUAGCAGCACAAAGUAGGGUCCUUCCUAGGCUGGCUUGAGUUUUCUUUCUUUUCACCUUUUGAUAAGAAUGUGAUUUUCAGGCUGGUGCUGGUUUACCGGAAAUUCUAGGGGUGAUACAUGUGCUAAAAGACUUUUAGUUUUUGAGGGAAAGGAAAGUGGAAGAUAAACCAGGUAUAUAAUUUUAAAGAAAUUGACCUUUUGUUUUAAAUGUGGGGACCUUGGCAGUGGAAUCUAUAGUCCUUAGUGCCUUUUUACUGAGAAAUUUCCUUCAGCACCUAUUUUUAUUAGUUUUUAAAUCAAAGAAAGCCAAAUACCAUUUUACAUCUAACAAUGCUCUUUGUAUGAUUUUUAUACCAGAUAAGCUAAAUUUUACCUUUAUAUUAGUGUGUUAUUAAUGUUAAACCUAAUUUUAAGAAAACAUUGUAGAGAUAUUUAUCUAAUUUUUAAUGUUUGACCAUAAGGUAAGAUUUUAUAGACUCUUUUUAACUUUUAUAAUUUUUGCUAAACAGCAGGUUGGUGUUUUAAGAAAAACCUGCUAUGCUUUUAUUUUAAUGUCCAGUUUACAGAAAAUCUGGAUGAUACCUCUUUAAUUUUAGCCAAUGUUUACACACAGAAUUUUCUUUUCAAUUAACAUUUUAAAACUUGAUUAAACCUUUAAAACAAAGUAUACAUAUUUUUAACCUUUUAAUGUAGGUAAAAAUUUAUAUUCUUAUGCCCUUAUAAUUCUUUUGCCAAAGGUAUAUUUUACUUUCUUAAUACACCUUGCACAUAAAGUGUUUUUGUUGCUGCUGUUGUUUUUUUAGUUUUACAUUCAGGAGGCCUAGUUACUUUUAAAUUAUACAACAUUUCUUGCAUUAAUUCUUUUUUUAUAACGUUUUUUUCUUUCACGACUUUCUCAGACAAUUCUUCGACAUGCCUCAACUUUCUGACUUAUUACAAAUAUUUCUUUCUUUAAAGAACCAGUUAAUUUAUUUCAGGACAAGAAUUUACCAUAUAAUACUCUUUUUACAUAAAUUUCUCCCUCCCCCUUUUUUUUUUUUUUUUUUUUUUUUUAGGAUAUUUCUGAACUGGUGAGGCAUGCUCACAAUGAGGUUUCCUCUAAAAGUUUUUUUUUUUUUUUUACUCUUUUUUGUUAGCAAAGUAGUUGCCGCUACAGAUUGAAUGGAUUUGGGCCAUCUGUGGGUUACUGGGUUAAGGAUUUUUGAUAGGAAGGCCUCAGUGCUUUCAGGAUAUGCCCUUGUUUACACUGACAACAAAGUGGUAUUGGAGUGUUAUAGGGUUACAGAGAAUACCUUCAAUUAUCAAUUACAGGUUUUAAAUUUACCUUGGCUUUUAAAGGAAUAGGGUACACUGUUCUUUUCUUAACUACUUGUAUAUCUCUCUCUUUUUUUUUCUCUUUGUCUCUCUUUGACUUUCCUUUUGCCCGUCUCUUCCUCUCUCUCUCUGUCUUUCUGUUUCUUUUUUUUUCUCUCUCUCUCCUCGACUCCCUCUUUGUCUGUCUCUUCCUCUCUGACUCUUCCUCUCUCUCUUUGCCUCUUUUCCUCUCUGUCUCUUUCCUUUCUCUCUCUCUGCUGGUCUUUCCUAGCCUCUGCCAGCUGCUUAUGCUGCUGUUCUCUCAACCACUGUGUGUUCGGGGUGGGGGGUCUAAAACCAGCUGUAACCAAGUGUCUAUGUACAGGAACUGGUCUGGGUGCCCUGCCUUACAGGUUACCUUGUGCCAUACCUUUGAAACAAGGGACCUGUCCAGGCUCCCUUUUGAAGGCCAACCCACCUCUAAUGCUGGCCAGUCUAUCUUACACAAAGUUUUAAGUUUUCCUGGUGUCAUAGUACUCCACAGUUUCCCUUAAAUCCUUUUUUGAAAUUUUUCAACAUAGUUCCUAGUAGGGUGGGCUUAUUUGUGCCUGACUCAUGCUUCUUCGAGACAAAACACCACGCUCACAUCACACACACACCACAAAACAAAGAACAGGUAAAAAGGGCACACGGUUCCCAAGACCAGUCCUGUCAAGCAAUUCAAACCAAGUCAAAACAAAAACCAAAACCAAAGUGCUGAUAAAGACAUGCCGUGGGUGAUCAGGCCACGCUUCCACUCAAAUGGAGUGGGCAACUUCCCAAGACCAGUCCUAUCAAGAAAUUCAAACCAAGUCAAAACCAAAACCAAAAUGAAACCAAAGUGCCGAUAAAGGCACACUGUGGGUGAUGAGGCCACACUUCCACUAAAACAGAGUAGGUGAGUUCCAAAGACUAGUUUUACCAAGUUUCAGAUGUCCGGACUCCAAGUACCAGUUCCUUCCUGGUGUUCAGCCACUGCGUUGAUCCCCCACGGGUGCCUGCCACACAAUGCUCUUGUGAGGCGUCCCACUGGGGCAAAUGCCUACCCGGGAGCGCUCUCAGGAUCUGCAUUUCUUGGGCUGGUUGAAGUCCCCCGCAGGGAUGUUCCACAAGGCAGGCUUAAGCCACUUAAGAAGCUGCCUUGACCAUCUGACAUCACCUCAUUUGCCAGUCAGGGAACCAAGAAAUAUAGCAGGAUGAGCCGCAGACAAAACUCCUCAGACACCGAGUUAAAGAAGGAAGGGGUUUAUUUGGCUGGGAGCAUCGGCAAGUCUCCUGUCUCAAGAGCUGAGCUCCCUGAGUGAGCAAUUCCUGUCCCUUUUAAGGGCUCACAACUCUAAGGGGGUCUGCAUGAGGGGGUCAUGAUCAAUUGAGCAAGCAGGGGGUACGUGAGUGGGGGCUGCAUGCACUGGUAAUCAGAAUGAAACAGAACAGGACAGGGAUUUUUACAAUGCUUUUCCAUACAAUGUCUGGAAUCUAUAGAUAACAUAACCAGUUAGGCCAGGGUCGAUCUUUUAACUACCAGGCCCAGGGCACAGCGCUGGGCUGUCUGCCUGUGGAUUUCAUUUCUGCCUUUUAGUUUUUACUUCUUCUUUCUUUGGGGGCAGAAAUUGGGCAUAAGACAAUAUGAGGGGUGGUCUCUUCCCUUAAAAUGGUGACAUAUAACUUUGCCCUUUUCUAUUUUUUCUAUUUACUAUUAACUCUUUUUUUUUCUAUUAACUCUUUUCUAUUUACUUCCUUUGGUCUCAUUUUCAUUUAAGCCUUUUUGGUCCUUGAAUUGUUCUAGAAGUCAUUUACUUUUUUUUUCCAUAGGAGAGUGAGUUUAAUUCAGUUUCUAAUAGUAGUAGGUUAUCUUGCUGGUAAGUUAUGGGCAUUUGUUUAUUAACAGCUGUUUUAAUUAAUCUUUGUGCUAGUCCCCUCACACAAGGGGUAAUACAACAUCCCACUGCUGUUAAGACUCCUGCCACAAUUAUGAGAGAUGUAAGGAUUAAAGCUACCAUGCCUUUCCAUUUUUUCCAUUUUCCAUUUUCACAUUCUUAUUAAUAGUUGACCAUCAGAAGAGUCCUAAAACCCAGCAGCUAUUUGGUUUUAGGCCUAAAUUCAUUAGGCACACCUCUAGGGACUCCAAUUGAGUUAACAUAUGUAUUGGGAUUAAAAGAAUUUGUCAAAUCUCUCUGGUGUCAGUGGCCAUGUGUAUUUUUGGGUAUCUUAUGGAAUGCCAGGGUGAAGGGAAUGGCCAAUUGGACUAAAGCACAAGUCCUAGUCCCAUUGGAUGGUAACAGGUUACAGAGGUUCCAUUUCCCACAAUACCACCAGACAUCAGCCCGGGGUGUAUGGAGAGCUGAGUAAUUGCCAUUGCUUGACUCACCAGUGAUGUUUAGGAUGUAGGCAGAAGUUGAGAGUUCUCCCACAGGAUUAUUGAACUCUUCCUCCUGCCUAGAGAGGCAAGAGAAGUGGUUCAUAUUCCCUAUAGAGAACAAGGAUAUUGCUCUGGGAUCUGAGCUCUGGAAUGUGGGAAAGAGCGAUCACAGACUCUUACAAGUCUUACUUCCGCAUGCAUCCUUGUCCUGGUAUAGAACCAACAUACAGUGUAGUCCCUUAGGAGGGGUAUUCCAUCCUAGGGGAAAUGGAACCACCUGUGCCCAAGGUCAUCCCACAGCAGUUACUCUUGUUGAGGGCUUGUACCAAAAAUUUGACCAAUUCGACCCAGGCGUUUAUAUCCCCAUACCCUGUCUCAAUUUCUAAGGUUUGCCUUAGAUCCUUUACCAUAUUUUUCCCUUUUAGGGUCAUUAUUUGGUGGACUAAAGUGUUUAUUAGGGUCUGGGGUUGUAGUCCCAGGCAAAUGGGAGGUUGAGUUCUUGAUUAGUUUGAGAACAAAUCACCCUAGGGGGUCUUUCCCUGUGAUUUCUGCCCCUAAUGCAUAUAUCCCAGAUUCUACUUUUGGUUCUUGGUCUACAAUGGCUGGAUUGUCAAUGGUGAUGAGUAUAGAAUUGCAUUUUAAAUUCUGGCAGUUAUUUGGCAGGGAGCCCUUGGACAGAUGUAGUUUAUUCUUUAAGGGUCUCCAGCUCAGAGUUACCUAUUCUAUGUUUACUGUUCAACCCUGAAAUUGGGUAGUCCACCAUACAUUAUCCCAGCUGGGGCAGGGUGAUGCCCUACUGUAAACUGUAUUUGGUUCAGGGAAAAGAUAUUUAUCUGCCUGUGAGAACUGUCUCUGAUUUUCUAAAUUCCCACAAGUUAAAACCUGGCAGGUAUCAAAUCUUAUAUUCUGAGGUGCCAUCGUCUUGGUCACAUUAAUUGCCAACCUGAUUGGGUAGGGAAGAGUCCCCUGCCAGUUUCCAUUUUGACCUUCUGCUCUUUGUAUAGUAGCCCAUCCCAGCCAUAUUAACUUCCAGAAAUGGGGCCAGCCCAUGUUUUCCUUUUAGAUUUUUCCAAGAGUUAACUUUAAGGGUUCCUCAGGUGACCCAUGCACUUUCCACUGGUCUUUUUCCUUGCCUUCUGGGGUCCCUUUUACCAGUCCCUUGACUUGAGUGUAGUGAGUCCACCUUUGUUCAGCUGUUUGCACAUCCAGCCAUCUUAGUGGUCAGGAGCACUUGAUAGGGAGCUUCCCAACUUGGGUGGAGCUUGUCUUCUUUCCAAGUUUUAAUCAGCACCAAGUCACCAGGCUGGAAGUGGUGAACCAUGAACUCAAGAGGCAGAGUUUGAGUCAGUAGUCCUUUUAACCUAAGAGAUGACAGGGUGGAGGAUAUGGCCAGUAAAUAAUUACUUAAGAAUUGAUUCUAGUUCAACCAUUGUGGAAGUCAGUGUGGCGAUUCCUCAGGGAUCUAGAACUAGAAAUACCAUUUGACCCAGCCAUCCCAUUACUGGGUAUAUACCCAAAGGAUUAUAAAACAUGCUGCUAUAAAGACACAUGCACAAGUAUAUUUAUUGCGGCACUAUUCACAAUAGCAAAG
rnacentral:lncRNA from 10 species